AUCGGGGCUUCAAAAAAUGGCAACAAUGCAAAUGGAUGCCUCAUUCUUGGCUAUAUCAACCGAGAAGCUACCCACCAAACAGCACUCGACUACCACAUUAUGCCAUGUCAUGGUGGUAGUUAGAUCUUCAAGGAUUAUCAGACUCCAAGAUUGGUCGAUGAGAACAACAGAAGGAAUUGACCCUCCCAAUUACCAGAUCUUGAAGUUCAUCCAUAACCUGACCACAAGAAAAUCCUAUUUGUUAGGCAUUUUGGUGCCCUAUUUUAUGUUUAUGCAAAUCGUCAGAAAAAAUAUAUAACACAGGAAAACGAACGCCUAUGUGUCUUGAACAGUCGCAUAUUAUAACUGAACGAAUGAAAUAAACACGGGCAGUAGUCAUGUUUGAUGUUAUAUAUGAUGCUGAAAGAUAAGUCUGUUACCCUGAUUUUAUUAAAUUAAGGCGGCAAUUGGUGUGAUGUUACUAGUCUUAGAUACAUUGAAAUUUAGAACUAUGCGAUAAGAAAAAUGAUGGCACUAAAAUAGUGUACAACAUCACAAAAAUUAGAUUACGUAACUUAUUAUCUACAAAUUUCAGGUUCUAUCAACAAUUUCAUUUAUGAACCUAUUAAAAAUAAAUAAAAAAAUCCAUUUGAACUAUUUUACCCCUUGAAGGAAGACACAUGUUCAUCAUACGACCUCUCUCUUUUAUAUGUAUAAUUAAUUUCAUGCAUGAGUUUUCAAAAAGAGUCCCUAGAAAUUUCAAGAAAUUGAGAAAACUAGAUAAAAGAGUUUAUACAUGAUUUGAAACAAUUAAUACAAGUUGUACUAAUAAAGAAAAUCAACAAGGACAGAACAAAAUAUAAAAAUCAUAAAAAUAUAAACCACAAGCUUAAAGAUUCAUUGGGACAGAAAAUAUAAAAUAAUUAAAAUAGAAAAUCAAAAAGAUAAUAAUUAAUGAAUAAACACUGCAACUUCAAUAAAUUUCAAAAACUGAGAAAAACCAUAAAAUGAGUUUUAUCAAAGAUUCAGAUUAUAUAGAUUGAACUAAUACAUAAUAUCAGCAAUGACAGAACAAAUGCUAAAAAUCAUCAAGGAAUGGUACACAAAUAAGCUUCUUUCUUGUAAGAUGGAUUCGUAUGUUCCUGGAUAGCAUACCUGCAAUUGCAUGUGGACAUGGAAUACCACUAAGUUACCAUUUGCUACAAUCACAUUCAUAUUUCAUUAGGUCCAUACUCCAUCAAAGACUAUCACCAUUACUGACUUCAAAAUUCUCAUGACUUACAUAAAUAGCUUCAUAUAUCUUACAUUUGCUUUAACCUUCUCAAUAAUACUCACAAUUUUUGGUUUGUAAUCAUGAUCCUACAUUUCAGUUGAUUCCCUUUUAGCAUUCAUUCUGAUCAUUUGUUGAUGUCUAAUCUUCUCAAGCAUUAUGAUUAUAGGCUUCUCUCUAGCAACCACUAUAGAAGAAUCGAAUGCCUUAGACAAAUUAUUUACACCUUGAAUGUUCCUGAGAAUGUGAUCUUGUCCAUUGUUAGGUUGGUUUUUCAUUUAACCACUUGAAGGCUCUCAUUCAUUGUUUUCUUCCAAAAUAGGUUUUAAGAGUCAACCCUUUGUACUUCAAGGUGAAGUUGAUGUACAAAAUUGGUUAAAGAUUCAACCAAACCCUUCUACUUGUUAGAAAUGAAUGUUAUACAUCCCUAAGUCAAACAACAACUGCUCACUCCAACUGAAAUUUUUUUAACAUAUACAAUAGCCCAAUCUAUUGGGAAUAUGCAAUUAUCUCCAUCAAUUCCAACUCUUGCCAACAGCUGCCUCCUAUAUGCACUUUUAGGAAACAAUCGUUCAACCUUAUUACAGGCUUAUAUCCAGCCUAGAAGCACUCCUUGCAUGCCACAAAUAGAUGUAAUCUCUUUUAAAGUUAGACCCUUCUCCCUUAAUCUGAAUUGUACUACCAAGACUUGUCCUCUUCAUUCUCCUCAUCAUAAUCCCAUACUACUCAUCAACAGUCAUAGUGACCACCUCUACACAUUUUUCACUAGUCCUGUAAGAUUGAUGUUUUGAAAUCUCAUACAUACAAUCAUCUUUAACAAUUUCUACAAAGCUAUUCAGUGACAAUUUAGAAUUUGACCUGAACUUACGUAUAUAUUUUGGCCAAGUAAAAAGCUUGUACUCCACUAAUCUACCAAACCGUAGUGCAUGUAUGUUCAUCUCCAGAAGUGUUUGUUCCUAUUCUUUUAACUGGCUGCCGGUAAGCAUACAAUUCUCGUGGAUAUGUUUUCGAUAUCUUACUCUCACCAUUUUUUUCUCAUUUUUCACAUACUUCACUUGCGUAGCAUUCUUGACUCAAUAUUGCACAAUUGCACUACUCAAAUUCCUGAUAUUUUCAAGCUUCAUGACUGUAAAAGAGAAAUGAUUAGAAAUUCUCUUAACAAAUGAAAGUAAUUAAUUCCAAGUUAAAUUACAUUACCAAUUUUAAAUUUCGGGUCCUCCAAGCCUAUUGCAAAAUUAAACCAACUCCUUCUCUAUUGGAUGAGGAAGCUUCAUCUAUAUUAUCACUUGGAAAGCUUCUAAGUUUAUCUUACACCCCGUAAUCAGCUCUAGCAUUUUCUUCACUAUAUGCUUGAGGAUCUUGUUCAUUGCUUACAUUAUCCACUCCAAAUUCCCCAAUCAACUUGAAAUAUGUGCUAUCAUCAUGAUUAUCAAUUUGUUCUUCUUCCUGAUCCUAUUGAUAAUAAAAAAAUAAAAGAUAAAAAAUUCUCUAAUACACCUUCCUCAAUCAUUAUAUUUUCUACAUCAAGGAAGAUAUUUGUUUCUACAACUGCUCUAUGAACAUGUGCCUAAGUACUAUCUAUGUAGUGGUCCUCAGAUGUUGGAUCUUCUGCUGCAUUUGUAUCCUCAACAGGUGCCUCUGUUAACACUACAGUCUCACCAAUCUGAGCCUCAUCAGAUCGUCUCCCUGUUCCUGAAUUUUUUUUAUGAACUUCUACCUCAAUUUCCCCAAUAUUUUCAUCAAUUACCUCAAUUUUCCACUAUCUUUGUCUUCAAAAUGUGUCUCAUUCUCCCUCAAACUCUGCUCCUCAACUUCUGUCUCAUUCUCACCCAAAUUUUGGUCCUCAACAUGUGUUAUUUCCUUCACCAAAUUCUGCUCCUCAACCUGUGUCUCAUUCUAUCCCAAAUUUAGCUCCACAACAUGUAUCUCUUCCAUUGCAUGGUUUGGUUCAUCAAUAAAUUUUGGAUGUUUCUCCUAUUUAUACCUCUUCAACUCCGAUUGGUCCCCAUCCUUAUCCAUCUCAUCAACAAGUUCAUUUACAUCAUUUUCUUGCUUUAAAGUAAUUUGUUCAUCAACUUUAUCUUCUCCUUCCAUUCCUUCAUGUACAAUCCCAGCUUCAUCAACAAUGUAAAUAUCAUAACCUUCUAAUGAUUCAUCCAAAAAAAGAACUCAACAACAUAGCAUGCUUUCUGAGAUAUUUCAUUUUGAUGACUUUUCUCAACCUUUGAUUCAACACUUUCAUUCACAUUCUCCAAAAAAUAUCAAUAAGUUUAGAUGGUGAUCAUACUGUGGAAAUUCCAAAUCUUCUACUACCGACAAUUAAUACUAAUCAACAAUCACUUUUCUACCAAGUAACUUAACUAGAUUUAUAAAAUCUGCACCAGUUACUAGCCAAAAGAAUGCCUUACUCAAUCUUGAUAGCUGAUUGUUACAGUGUACAUAAUUUUGCAUUGUGGAAAAUAAGAAACCACCAUGAUGUAGCCAUAUGGUGAAGAAAUAUGUGGAAUACAAGAAAAAUAAAACAAAACAAAAAACCAACUGCAAUCAGAAUAAGUAGAUUCCAGACAAUAACCAUAAGUAUAAACUCAUUCUUUUUGAAUGUCGACAUGAUAGGAAAAUUGCUAAACCCUAGCACAUUCAGUUGUGAUAAAUAGGUAGAAAAGUUCGACUGCAAAAUGCAGGUAAAAGAAUUAAUUGAAAGCAUCCAAACAUAUGCGGUGCUCACAAAGAUUCAACAUUUUUAUAUAAGUUUGCUCAAGAAACAGAAUAAACCAUAACUAAAACCUCUAGAAAACUAACCAUAUUCGAUUUCGGGCAGGGAUCCUCUAAGAUGACAAGCAAUAUCUGUAUGAUUUUCACUUGAUUCGUUUCGUGGGUUUCUUGUGACUUCAUUGUGGAAAAGAUGGUGGUUUACUGUGUUCUUUCAAGUUCUAGAAUGUGAUACGUAAAGGUACAAGUCCG
rnacentral:lncRNA from 1 species